rnacentral:ncRNA from 1 species
UAGAAAGCUAUGAAAAAGCGGAGUAAUGAUAAUUUCAUUUUAAGAGAGUCUCUAUCAGGUGUGAACGAGAUAAAUGAUUUAUUCAUGAAAGUAUCUUUGGAGCUAUAUACCGAAAUUUUAGUAACGUAUAUUGGGUACACCCAUUACUGUGUCAACGUAUUAUUUAGUACGUGAGAGAUAAAUUAUUUUAAUUUAUAAUUAUAGGUGGUACCGUGCGCAAGCAUCCUUAAU